rnacentral:rRNA from 1 species
GUGGGGAAUAUUGGACAAUGGGGGAAAGCCUGAUCCAGCCAUGCCGCGUGUGUGAAGAAGGUCUUCGGAUUGUAAAGCACUUUAAGUUGGGAGGAAGGGCAGUAAGUUAAUACCUUGCUGUUUUGACGUUACCGACAGAAUAAGCACCGGCUAACUUCGUGCCAGCAGCCGCGGUAAUACGAAGGGUGCAAGCGUUAAUCGGAAUUACUGGGCGUAAAGCGCGCGUAGGUGGUUUUGUAAGUUGGAGGUGAAAUCUCCGGGCUCAACCUGGGAACUGCCUCCAAAACUGCAUGACUAGAGUACGGUAGAGGGUAGUGGAAUUUCCCGGGUAGCGGUGAAAUGCGUAGAUAUAGGAAGGAACACCAGUGGCGAAGGCGACUACCUGGACUGAUACUGACACUGAGGUGCGAAAGCGUGGGGAGCAAACAGGAUUAGAUACCCCAGUAGUCC